GUCAGGCAAUUGUGUGCUCAUUGUACGGAAUAAUCUUUCCAUUUCGUGGUAAAAUUCAAGGAAAGUUUCAUUUCUUUGUUGUCUACGUUGGUAGACUUUCAUUUUAAUAAGUGCGUCUAAGUCUGGAUGCAUAAAUGAUCGUCGUAAUUCUAGCACCAAAUGUUGCCAGUUUAAAAGGCGACCGGUACUACGCAUAGUCAUGUACCAUUUGAGUGCUGGACCUGAGAAUAAGUGCACCGCCGACUCAAAUAACUCGGUUUCGGAAACGUGUUCCGCCACAGAUAAUGCUUGUAUAAUUUCUAAGAAUUCGUUAAGUUUAAGUCCCUGAUCAUCGCCAUCAUAUUUAGAAAUGGGCCAUUUUGACACCGGUAACCUUUGCUGAGAGUGAUUACUCGGAGGAGUGGGAAUAAACUUUGUCGUAGAAUGAUUGUAAGGUUGCCUAUGGUUAUUAAUUACUUCUUGCCAAUUAUUGCUACCGUGAUUACAUGCCCGAGGAUCGGUUGGAACUGGGUUGUGAUUGCUUGACUGUUGCCAGUAUUGGUACGGGUUCGCGUAAACGAAGAAUGGGUUAUUGUUAUCGAGGGUUGGAUGAAAAGUGGCAUUUCUAGCUGUGUUGGAUGAUGUACCGGCUUGGUCAAGACAUGCGUUAUUAUUUGCUUUUGAUUUCAAAAUGGAGGGUUGCUUUUUUGAGGGCCCUGGUGGGGCUGUAUUACGCGGGCACUGCAUACUUGCCAAUUCGUUUUCUAAUUGCUCGAUUCGACCUUGGAGAGAAUUUAUCAUUUCAAUAUCUACCGAUUUACGUUUCUUUUUUCGAUCUUGCGAUUCAUCAGGUGACGAAGAAUUUUCGGACUCAUCGCCAGCUGGUGUAUCAUCAUCGAGUAAAUCUCCAUGAUCACUGUCUGCGUUCCCGUCGCGUUCCAGUUCAGGUUCCGAAGUCUUAUUUGUUUGGUUAAGGAGCUGAUAACUACGGUGGUCCCGUAAGCUACGUUUUCUUCGGGAAAACGUGGGAUCCUCGCGAAUUACGAUGGAUCUAACUGUAGUUUCAAAAACUAUUUCAUCUUGUUCUAAGUGAUCUAUCCUCAUUUCGUAGUACCACGUUUUCAUCCAUUCCACUGCUUGAUCAAAAUUUAGAUUAACCUCUGCCAUUUUCAAAACGAAAAAAAAGAACAAUUGGUUUCGAAACAAAGCGUUCAAAUGAGAACAAAAGAACUAGGUAACGAUCACUCAAUCCCCGGAAAUUAAUCUCACCCGUCAGUCUAAAUGAAAAAGGCUGAAUUCUGGUAAAUGGUCAAACA